rnacentral:sRNA from 1 species
AACAUUUUGCAGGUAGUUAUUUUCCUGCUAGAACUUACUUAGGUGUGCUGGGGGAUAAAUGGAUAUUUAUUUACUAGAAUACAUCUAGUAAUCUCAGUACUGCAGGGGGUGGCAAAGGGAGGAGAAUAGAAGCUGGAUAGCUAAGGUUAUUGCUGACAUGGAGGCCCAGGUUCAUAAGUUGAGAGAAGAACUGAUCAAUGUGAACUCACAGCGGAAACAGCAGCUGGUAGAGCUUGGUCUUCUUCGUGAAGAGGAAAAGCAAAGGGCUACAAGGGAACAUGAGAUUGUCGUCAAUAAACUGAAGGCUGAAUCAGAAAAGAUGAAAAUAGAGCUGAAAAAGACUCAUGCUGCUGAGACAGAGAUGACACUGGAAAAGAUAAAUAUCAACAAAGUUGUGUCUGGGCUUGGGUGGCAAGUGUAUGACUCCAAAUGUUAUGCUGCUCCAGCAGAACCAGUCACUCUUGUGGAAGCCAAGGAAUGGGAACAGAAGAAUAUGAAAUCAGUGGCCAACAGCAGGCUGAAGCAGAUUGAGAAGGAAUACACUCAGAAGCUUGCCAAAUCUUCACAGAUCAUAGCAGAACUUCAGACAACCAUUUCCUCUCUGAAAGAAGAGAACAGCCAGCAGCAGCUUGCUGCAGAAAGGCGGCUCCAGGAUGUUAGACAAAAGUUUGAAGAUGAGAAGAAGCAGCUGAUUAGAGAUAAUGACCAAGCAAUCAAGGUUUUGCAGGAUGAAUUAGAAAACCGUUCUAAUCAGGUGCGAUGUGCAGAGAAAAAAUUACAACACAAAGAAUUGGAGUCACAGGAACAGGUACCCUCUUCUUUACUAUUUGACUCUCUUGUUUACUUUCUCUAGGUUAAGAAGUGUGUGUAGCCAGGUGCAGUGGCUCACACCUGUAAUCUCAGCACUUUGGGAGGCCGAGGUGGGUGGAUCACCUGAAGUCAGGAGUUCGAGACAAGCCUGGCCAACAUGGUGAAACCCUGUCUCUACUAAAAAUACAAAAAUUAACUUGGUCUGGUGAUGGGUACCUGUAAUCCUAGUUACUUGGGAGGCUGAGGCAGGAGAAUUACUUGAACCCGGGAGGCAGAGGUUGCGGUGAGCCGAGAUCGCACCAUUGCACUCCAGCCUGGGUGACAAGAACAAAACUCCGUCUCAAAAAAAAAAAAACAAGUUUACGCAUUGCCUGUUUCAGUUAAGAUGCUUUGAGUGCAAGCAACAGAAUAUCCCACCCAUGGUUGACAUAAAAAAUAAAGCAAUUUACUACGUCACAGAACAAGAAGUCCACAAGUAAAGCAUUCUCAUGACUCUGCCUCCGGUGCUGGCUUCAUUCUAGAAGCAACUUCAGGACGGCUGCAGCAGUGCCAGCCAUUCUGCCCAGAUCUGCACUAUUCGGAGGCAGAAAGGGGCUGCCAGUUUCUAGGGCCUAAUGAGUAAGGAAAUCUUUCCCGGAAACUACCCCCUCCCUUUACAUGUCAUUGGCCAGAGAAGGUCACAUGCUUAGCCUGGCAUACCCAGUCCCUGGCUAAACAACUGAGUAUACAAAACUAGUCUAGAAUAAUCAGGACCCACCUGCUGGUGAUAAAACUGGGAGAAGAAGGAAAACUGGAACAAAAAGGAGGGGAAAUGGAGUGUUGAGUAUGCAGCCAACAGUGUCUGCUAUGUCAUCGUUUCAAAAUAAAUGGAUGUUAUUUUGCUUAGAGGCAUAAAUCAC